rnacentral:tRNA from 1 species
AGGGACUUAUGUUAAUAAUUAAACUUGAAACCUUCAAAGUUUCAACUAAAAGUUAAAAUCUUUUAGUCCCUA